rnacentral:tRNA from 1 species
GGAGGAUUAGCUCAGCUGGGAGAGCAUCUGCCUUACAAGCAGAGGGUCGGCGGUUCGAGCCCGUCAUCAUCCUCCACCA